rnacentral:rRNA from 1 species
GACGAACGCUGGCGGCGUGCCUAAUACAUGCAAGUAGAACGCACAGUUUAUACCGUAGCUUGCUACACCAUAGACUGUGAGUUGCGAACGGGUGAGUAACGCGUAGGUAACCUGCCUGGUAGCGGGGGAUAACUAUUGGAAACGAUAGCUAAUACCGCAUAAUAUUGAUUAUUGCAUGAUAAUUGAUUGAAAGAUGCUAUUGCAUCACUACCAGAUGGACCUGCGUUGUAUUAGCUAGUAGGUGAGGUAACGGCUCACCUAGGCGACGAUACAUAGCCGACCUGAGAGGGUGAUCGGCCACACUGGGACGGAGACACGGCCCAGACUCCUACGGGGGGCAGCAGUAGGGAAUCUUCGGCAAUGGACGAAAGUCUGACCGAGCAACGCCGCGUGAGUGAAGAAGGUUGUCGGAUCGUAAAGAUCUGUUGUAAGAGAGGAACGGGUGUGAGAGUGGAAAGUUCACACUGUGACGGUAUCUUACCAGAAAGGGACGGCUAACUACGUG